AUUAGCCGAGACACGCAGACGUUGAAGAGGCUUGCAGAAGAGACUGGCGUCCAUAUCAUAUCCGGAGCCGGGUUUUAUGUGGAUGCAACUCACUCCUCAGAGACCAGGGCCAUGUCAGUGGAGCAGCUUACCGAUGUCCUUAUGAAUGAAAUUCUCCAUGGAGCUGAUGGAACCAGUAUCAAGUGUGGCGUUAUUGGAGAAAUUGGUUGCUCCUGGCCUUUGACUGAGAGUGAAAGAAAGGUUCUCCAGGCCACAGCUCAUGCCCAGGCUCAGCUUGGUUGUCCUGUUAUUAUCCAUCCUGGACGGAGCUCCAGGGCACCAUUUCAGAUUAUCCGAAUAUUGCAAGAAGCAGGUGCAGACAUCUCCAAAACAGUCAUGUCACACCUGGAUAGGUAAGCAGGCUAUCUUACAAAUGAAUGCAAACCACCAUAUAAUUAUUGCAUGAUCAAAUUAAGAAUCUACAGUAAUCAGUCAAUGCAAUACUAAUCACGUAGAGAAAACCACUAACUAUAUGGAAGGUAGUAUUUAUAAAGUUUCACAACUGACAUGAAUAAAAGUCAAUGCUGC
rnacentral:sRNA from 1 species